UCCGUAAUUCUGUAUCCCUUUGUAAAGAGAGAACAGCGAAAGAGUGGACGAGCUCGCGUGCUCCUGCUAUUGUAGACCAAUGGUACAAGGGCGGGUGGAGACGGCAAUUAUGGCUCAUGGAAAUACUGGUGUGGGUCCCUGCAGUAGAGGCGACGGAGUUAGGCGUCACCGUGACGAGUCGAGGAUGGUGUACCGUUGGUACCUGAUCGAUUCAGGUACCUGCGCCGGUAUGCGCAACGGCGUCGAUUGCCGGGAAACGCUGGACAGACGAGUGUGUUGACCCAAAAGCACCUCAGAUCCCAUGGCGAUCUUGGCGGCGGAUGGGGGCGGCUUCGAGUUCCUCUCAGAUCCCGUCGACAGGUUCCGAUUCUGGCGAUGGAUGAGACUGUGUGCUCGUCGCCCAAUCGACAUGUGCUAGAUCUGGUGGAAGUAGCCGGCGAAUGCAUCGUACACGAGGUGGCUGAUGGCGGACGCUGCUUCAGCUCUAUAUGCUGAAUGGCUUCGACGGCAGAGUCCGAACAAUCUACUAGCAAAGACGACCCAGAGACUCCGGGCUGCACAAAAGACCAGUGUCGAGCAAAUGGAGGCUGCAAUACAGAAAGUCAUGCAAGAUGUGACACACCAGUGAUGCAAAUUGCAUGUGUUGAAGAAGACGGAAGAGUGUCUUGGGCCUCCGUAGACAAAGAGAAUCAAUUUCAGAGAUGAUUUCCAUAAGAUAGGUCAUCGCAUGCUGACGGUUGACGAGUUCGAGAAAGCAUGAGCAGACCUGAUGGAUGCGUACAAAUUGCAGAAGAACACAUACUUGACUCAGUUGUACGAAGUCGGAAGAAGUGGGAAGAGCCUUCAAAGGUAAAUUUUGUGCCAAGAUGACGCGCACUCAAUGGAGUGAGAGUGCUAAUCAUAUGCUGAAAGCAUAUGUGCCAGUGAGCUGCCAUAUGCAUCUGUUUGUUCAGCAGUACAUGACUCUGUUAUUCAAUCGUGAGGCAAGCGGGAACUAUGAAGAAAGGUGGACAAAUAUAAGUUUUUUUGCCAGAAGAUUAACUGUUUUUAUGAGUUUGACGUUCGGAUACUAUAUUGAUGUCUCUGAUCUUACUAGACGACCCCGGUAAUGAAGAUGAAUACCCCACUGGAGCUGCAUGCAAGCAAUGUUCUGUAUGAGGCAGGUAUUGACCCCGGUAUUGACCUUGAUAUGUUCUGUAUGAGGCAGGUAUUGACCUUGCAAGAUGAAUACCCCUUGCUAUGUUCGAGAAAUUUGGUGAGAUUCUGUAUGAGGCAGGCCAAUACAAGGUUGAUGAGGUCGAGAAAGGUGUGAAGUAUUUGGCUCGGAGAUACCACCGAAAGAAGCACGAAAAGUGGGGCAGAGUGGUAUAUGAAGUUCAAGUGCUGAAUCAGGGUAUGGAGAUAGCAUGCGAAUGUGGAAAAUUUGAACAUAUAGGAUUGUCAUCCUGUGAAGGUAGAAUUGUUUAGUUCAGUUUCCAAGGUUAUGAUGUACUGCAAAAACAUACUCAUGACUCUGCGAUGUUCA